AAACAAUUUAGUUUAAAUAAAAAGAACAAGAAAUAUCUAAAAAUAAAUAAAUUAUUUAUUAGCGAUAGGCCUACGGAUUUUUUAUUUUUUAUUUAUUUAUUUAUUUUUUUACUUUAGACUCUAAAGUUAAAAGUUUUUAUUAAGGCUAUUGUAAAGGCUUCUUAAAAAUGAUGUCGCUGAUGAGCCUCUGAUCGCUGUCAGAUUCUGUGAUAUGAAUGUCCGCUAAUGGGUUUAGAAUGAGCCCCGCUCGGCCCGUGUUCUGGCUUACUGUAAUAUUUCACCUGUAAUAAGACCGAAAUAAUAUAAUUAAAAUAAAGAAAUGAAUGAAUACAUGAUAACAUCUAAAUAAAUGUUGAUAGAUUUAGCGUUAUAGUUUUAAAAAUAUUAAUAAACAGCAAAUCAACACAGAAAGACCUAAAUAAUAAUAAUACAUAAUUAAUAAACAGCGCCGCCCCUCCCACUACGCGCAUCACGCGCUGUGCGUCAACCCCAAAGCGUCAAAAACUGAAGCGUGGUCAAGCGCCUCUAGCGUCACUGACAUGAGAUGUUUAUCGCUUUGAAAUCACGUUCAAGAAGUGUCAUUCAGCACACAUCGCGAUACUUUCCAUCAGUUUGCAAGAGCCGCAGGUUGGGUGAGUUAUACAGUCUAUGGUGAGUAGUAGUAAAUAUGCUAUUUUAAUGCCUGUCCUAAAACGUAUUCUGUCUUCUUUAUUAAUCAGAUGAGCGCCUUAUGUUUACUCUCUGUAUUACAUCGGUCAUCCGAGGCUGUCUUUGAGUUUCAUUGUGUUUAACUAAAUGAACACAGCUGCUAACUGGUUAAACUCUAUCGGUCACGUGACGUGACGUGACGUGCCACAGACCUGGGAUCCGUUUUAUAUUCAUUUCAGGUUCAAAGAUGUAAGUUGUAUUUGUAGUAAAAUCAUGGUAACCAUGACACCUACAAAAGUAGGUAAAACCCAGUAAACAAGACAUUUACCAUGUUUUUUUUUUUUUUUUUUUUUUACCACAGUAACUGUAGCUUUACUGUAGUAUAGUAAUAGCACAUUAAUCACCAAAUUAACUAUAGUUGUACCACUGUAAUGGUAGUGUUUUAAUGUGCUUUUAUAUGACUUAUUUCACAGUAAUCACAUUUACUGUACCAUGCUUGUAAUACCUUUUUAAUGUAAAAAAAAAAAAAAAAAAAAACAUUUUUCCCAUCUUGCAGUUCAAUUCAUAUUUGUUUAUAUCUUAAAUAUUUUGCUCACAGAUCACUAUUAACAUUCUGUAUAUAAUUCUGUUUUAUUUUCUUUCCCCUUGUAUUAAUUUUUUAGCUGAAAAGACGUAAAGUAAGCAGUCACCCCAGUGGUGUUUGUGGAGAGGUAUUCCUUCAGAAAUGGAGAAGACAGAAAGCUGCAGAGGCAGGAUUGUUUGCAGAUAAUGCUGUUCUUCUUUUUCAGAAGUUUUUGGGGAGCCAACCCUCACAAACCUUCCUAAAAACUAAAAGAGCUAUUACUGAGUCUCAGCGACUCUUGCCACGAUCAGCUCUUCCCAGAAGAGAAGGAAGACCAAGGAAAUGAUUUGCUCAGGAUGAGAAAUGAAGAUGGUCAUCUUGUGCUCAAGCAAACAGAAGUCCUCUGUUUUGUGUGUGUUGAAGCAAUGCUGUGUUACAGGACUUUAUGAUGAUCUCUCACAGGACUGGUCAU